UAUGGAGAGUUUGAUCCUGGCUCAGGAUGAACGCUGGCGGCGUGCCUAAUACAUGCAAGUCGAGCGAACUGACGAGGAGCUUGCUCCUUUGACGUUAGCGGCGGACGGGUGAGUAACACGUGGGUAACCUACCUAUAAGACUGGAAUAACUCCGGGAAACCGGGGCUAAUGCCGGAUAACAUGUUGAACCGCAUGGUUCAAUAGUGAAAGACGGUCUUGCUGUCACUUAUAGAUGGACCCGCGCCGCAUUAGCUAGUUGGUGGGGUAAUGGCCUACCAAGGCAACGAUGCGUAGCCGACCUGAGAGGGUGAUCGGCCACACUGGAACUGAGACACGGUCCAGACUCCUACGGGAGGCAGCAGUAGGGAAUCUUCCGCAAUGGACGAAAGUCUGACG
rnacentral:rRNA from 1 species